ACGUAUCUCUGACGGCGAGGGUGCGCCCAGCUCCGUACCGAAAGGACGUGCAGCGGGCGAGCCCGAGCCGCUCAACCUUUGCAAACCCACCGUGCACUUUUGUCGGCAGAGGGCCCCAGUGGUCCCGAGCCGGAUCACAAACUCCAAGUUUGAUUCGAAUGUGAAGCGGACGAGUGCCGCCUAAACUUUUA
rnacentral:misc_RNA from 1 species